GUCCGGAUAUGGGGCUCGGGCUUGGGGGGUAAAAGGGUGGAGGGGUCUCAGACUCAGUGGAGGGCUUUGGGGCUUAGGGCUAGGGUUUCAUUUGUGUGAAGUUCACACUUCAAGUCUUCGACUUCACUGUUCCUCUGCUGCUCUGCGCCGCAGCUCUCCAUUGGACCACCGACCAUCUCCUUCUCCAUUCUCCACUUCUCACUUCACGAACGACGAAUCCCCUCUUCAACUUACCAACCUCUCCUGGUUUCGCAAAUCCCUCCUUAGCUCUUCCCUCGUGUGGGCAUGGCGAUGACUCUUCAGUCUUCACUCAAUGACUCAGCCACUCAGAUAUUAAAGGGAAAAUGAGCAAUGACUUGCCUAGAGGUGGAGGUGCCAAACUUGGAGGAUGCAAUAAUGACGCAAGCUAAUUCCCAACACUAGCCUUCAAAUCCUAGCAUGACAAGUGAAAGCGCUACUAAUCCUCCUACUCAAUCUAAUCAAAAAAUGAGGAAGAGAAUGAGACCAAGAUCUGAAGUGUGGGAUCACUUCACUAAAUUUGUGAUAGAGUCUGGUGAAAUUAAGGAGUUGUCAAAUGUUGCAUUGGAGUCCACAAUUGGUGAAUGAGCCAAACAAAGAAAGACAAAGGGUGAAAUAAGCACAUGGAAAGAUCCAUUUUGUGUGGUCAUUGCAGUGGUAAUUUGUAAUGUAAGAAGCUGAAGAGUAGGAGUUUCUAAUAUAACAAGCCAUGAAAUUGUAGUUGUCAGUUGAUGUAUGAAGCAUUGAAGCCCUAGUCUUUGUUUUAAUUUUUCAAAAAUAAUUUAUAUUUCAUGUUUGUUUUUUAUUUUUAUUUUGCACAAACUGUUUAAAUUGGUCUGCAAUAUAAUAUUAGGGACUUUGAACUCUUGAACUCAAA